UCCCCGACGCAGAUGUAUAUCCAGCUCCCGUCGCAUAGCCGCUGCCGCCGUUCGAUCAUGAAAUCCAAUCCACCGGCGGCCACGAUCCAGGCAAGCAGCAGCGGUCCGCCUCUCUGGUGUUGCUCCUACCGCCAGGGUUCCGGACCUACCCAGGCCAACCGCCCGCUGCGGCGCGCCGAGUCCGCCGAGCCUCCUCUGCCCCACUGCCCCCUGCAGCGCCUCCCUCCGCCGAGCAGCCGGUGACGCCCAGCAACGCCGGCCAUUAGCCCAUGGACAGAUUGUUCGUACUUAUAUUGUUGAAGCAAGUGAGUGACUGCCAUCGUCGGUGUGGCUGCAGAAUGAACAAACUGCCCUGCCCCAACUACGUAACGUAGGUAUCCGUAAAUUCCCUGGUAUAUUUUACAGUUUGUUGAAAUUCUCGAACGAAGCACAACAAUCGCCUUUUUUUGUCACCAACAAAUUCAGUUUUGUACAUCAAUCAGCAAUAGUAUGUUGGCCAGAUUAUACAAUACAAAUGGAUGGAAAAAGAGUUGGUAUGCAUUGACCCAGGCUGCACCAUACGUAGAGUAUUUACAGUAGGGACGUGAUCUCUGAAUCAACAUGUCAAACACUAGACAACCUGUUAAUUUUAAUGCCAACUCACUUUGAUUGUUACUGGAUUGGAGGGUCCAAGGUGAUCAACAACAGAUUGCAGCGUGAAAUUUGCUUAAUAAAACAAGAUGUCUAUUGCAAAAUACCUAAGAUACGACCAGUCAGCUUGCUGCGAAGUCUGCAUUGAACUGUUGCUAUAAUUCUAUCGGAAAGCCUUUGUGAGGUACGUGAGUUGUGGAAUUUGAGUCACGCGGCAUGUUUCCGGGCAUAUCAAUCAAAUGAGGAGUAUCAGUGUCUGAAGAUGGUUCUGAAUGCACAAGAUGGCAACAAGGAAUCAAGUAGUGGUCAGAAGGAAUGCAUUAGGUUUGGUCCGGUGUUGCCACAGACAACGGAAAUUGAUUCUGGUAAUUUGGGAAAGGUUCUUGAUCCCGUUCAGGUUUGGUUCGGUGUUGCCACAGACGACGGAAAUUGAUUCUGGAGAUUUGGGCCCGUUCAUGUGCAAGGCCGAGGUGCACCGAAGAAAAGGUUGCGGGCAAAGAUGAAGUAGCAAAGAUCAAAGAGGAAAUGUGGCUAUUGUAGGGUAGAAGGUCGUGAUCGGCGUAUAUGCAAUAAAUUGAAAGAGGACAUGAUGGCAGCAAACUGUUAGCUACGGCUCUCUGUAUAGGAGGUUUCGUGAUAUAUUGUAUGACUCGUGGUCACCUGCGAUGACCGUAAAAGUGUCCCCUGAGAUUCUGAGAUUCUGGGAACCAUGUGCUGAAUCUUUUGGUGAUGUCUGAUUGCAUCAUUCAUGCUUUAAACCUGCGGCGCCCGUCGCCAUGGCCUUGCCCCGAGCGGCCGCCGGCCCGGGGCUAGCCGCUGGCAGGCCUCCCCAUCACCGUCCAGCCUCGUCGUCGCCACAUCCGGCAGACGCCGCCGCGAAUCCGCCUC